CACUGCAAGAAGAAACCCCUGCUGUUCCUCAAACUCUUCUUUGCCAAGGCUUUUGAAAACGUUCAUUGAGAUUAUCUCCUUAACCUGCUCCAGGCUUUAUUCAGUGCUAGAUGGAGGGAUCUGAUCUCCUCGUCACCUGCUACUUACACCUUUGGAGUGAUCCUUAAUGGAACCCCUGGGAAACCUUUCCAUCACAGACGUGGGCUGCGACAGGGAGAUCCGCUUGCCCCAAUGCUCUUCAUUCUAGCCCUCGAGCCACUGCAGUGA
rnacentral:rRNA from 1 species